CNAUUUGUAGUAUCCUGCUCAUGAAUAUUAAAUAGCCGCGGAAUUUUAACCGUGCUAAGGUAGCAUAAUCAUUAGCCUCUUAAUUAGGGGCUCGUAUGAACGGUAAAACAUUUCAAUUACUUUAUUAAUUAAUAUUUUUAAAUUUAAAUUAAGAAUAAAAAUGUUCUUAUUAAAAAGUUAGACGACAAGACCCUUUUGAACUUUACUUAUUGUUAAGCUGGGGCAGCUUAAAAAAAAAAAUCUUUUUAUUUAUAUUUAUAUAAAUGACCCAAUAAGAUUGAAUACCUGAACAAGUUACCAUAGGGAUAACAGCGUAAUAUUUUUUAAAAGCUCUUAUAAAAAAAAAUGAUUACGACCUCGAUGUUGAAUUAGGGUAACUUUAUAUAUGCAAUAAUUUUAAAAGUAGGUCUGUUCGACCAUUAAAACACUACAUGAUCUGAGUCAAAACCCGGAGA
rnacentral:rRNA from 1 species